rnacentral:lncRNA from 1 species
AGAUGAUGAAAAUGAUUGGAAUUUUCUCUCCGACAAAGAGGAGAACGACGAUAGGAUACGACGGGCCGGAGUGGGAUGCAACUUGGGAAAUGAGGCCAGGGGGAAUGGUGGUACAUGAGGAAUUCUGAUUCAGAACAAAGAUCAGUUCCAAUUCCAAGUAAUAAAGUCAAAGCGAAUUAUGGGUCGUCAUCAUAUCUUGAAUUCACUAUUAGUUCCCAAAUAAGUUUCGGUAUAUUUUAAUAUCCUUUUAAUUGUUCUCAUCAAUUAUGUUAAAAUGUGUGAAAUUUAUACAUGUAUUUUUAUUUUUAUUUAUUUUGUAUGUCCUGUAUAUCCAUAAUCAGGUUAAAUUGUUUUCAAUUGUCAGGAUUUGUUCAGGAAGGCUAUAUUGCAACCCGGUCCACCGGUAGAUUUUGCACUUCAGAUUGUUCAUAAAACCUCAAGUUGUUGCUCAUUCAUAUAUCUUUGUAUGUGUAUUGUGUAUAUACAUUAGGACCAUAUUUUUAGUUUGUUUUCUGUUGUGAUUUUUGCUAUAAUUGACUCAUGACUCAAACUGCCUCACGCUAAUAAAGUUAAUUAAUAUCUUAUUAUUUACUGUAUGUAUACAAAUGGUAAAGUGAUAAACAAGACAGUUAAGUAAAGUUUGCAUAAAUUAUCUAAAGAAAAAAGGCAAACAUUUCUAUACCUCAGAACCUGAAUUCUACUUACAACCCAUACCUAACAACAGAAAAUGCAUUAUAUAGUACACACUUUAGCCAACCCACUUCCACUCACCUAAUUUACCAAAAAAAAAUCAGAUUAACUAUACUAAGAUGUAGCAGCUACUUUCCUAAAUUUUUAUGGCACAAUCAACUAUUCAACUAACUUUGUUAAAUACAUGAAACGGAAAUACAUCAGACACUUCAGUGUUGGACUUUGGAUACUGACUCUUCAAUUAAGUUUUAUGACAACUUUUUAUCACAUAAUUCCUUGAUAUGAAAACAGGCAGACUUGCAAAUAAAAAAAUGGACAGGUAGGCGUAAGUUUUAGAUGUGGAGUAUAUUGAUUUGUAGGCUAAUUUAGGUUGUCUUUUUCCUUAAUUUUGGUUCUGGGAAUUGGAUGUCUAUGUAUCAUGUUUGAUUAAAUGCAUGUUAAUUAUAUGAAAUUUCAUUGUAAUUGAUGUUAAUUAUAUAUGGCUUAUGAAAUUUAUUGUGUAGUUACAACCGUUUUAACUGCACAAUCAUCGACCAAUGGAUGAUGUUGUUAUAUUUGGUAGUGUAAGUUUAUCAUAUGAUUAACUCUCUCUAAAUAUAUCUUAUUGAUUUUUUUAAUAACUUAUUUGUUUUAAUUUAUUUUCAUUAAUGUCAUGACAGAUGGAUGACGACUUAGAAAAUAUCGUAUGAUAAGUUUUUUUAAUCAUCAUUUUCUUACCUUUUAUCUAAUCUUUUUACCCGCUUAUUUACUAUUCAUUAUUUUUUUGUCUACAGGUUCGAAGAUUUCGUCAUAAUAAUGUAGGAGUGAUAAUUCGCAAUGAGUAUGAACUAAAUUGUCUCCGUACACACAACACACAUAAUAUACACACAUAACUGUAACCAAUCAAACACUCACAAAUCAAACUCACACACCAUUAUACUGUCACCAAUACAGAUUUAUGAUUUAAAUCAUUAAGCAAAUGAACCGUUUGUUGAAAUGGUACUAAGAAAACUUUAUUUGAUCGUAAGUCCAUAUCUUUUUCUAAAUAAAUUGAUUAUUUAUUACAAUCUCUCUAAAUUCUUACUUAUAUCAAUCUAAAUCAUUCCCCCCCCCCC